UGCUCUUUCCGGAUGAGUUGCGAACGGGUGAGUAACGCGUAGGUAACCUGCCUGGUAGCGGGGGAUAACUAUUGGAAACGAUAGCUAAUACCGCAUAACAGUAGAUGUUGCAUGACAUCUGCUUGAAAGGGGCAAUUGCUCCACUACCAGAUGGACCUGCGUUGUAUUAGCUAGUUGGUGAGGUAACGGCUCACCAAGGCGACGAUACAUAGCCGACCUGAGAGGGUGAUCGGCCACACUGGGACUGAGACACGGCCCAGACUCCUACGGGAGGCAGCAGUAGGGAAUCUUCGGCAAUGGACGGAAGUCUGACCGAGCAACGCCGCGUGAGUGAAGAAGGUUUUCGGAUCGUAAAGCUCUGUUGUAAGAGAAGAACGAGUGUGAGAGUGGAAAGUUCACACUGUGACGGUAUCUUACCAGAAAGGGACGGCUAACUACGUGCCAGCAGCCGCGGUAAUACGUAGGUCCCGAGCGUUAUCCGGAUUUAUUGGGCGUAAAGCGAGCGCAGGCGGUUAGAUAAGUCUGAAGUUAAAGGCUGUGGCUUAACCAUAGUACGCUUUGGAAACUGUUUAACUUGAGUGCAAGAGGGGAGAGUGGAAUUCCAUGUGUAGCGGUGAAAUGCGUAGAUAUAUGGAGGAACACCGGUGGCGAAAGCGGCUCUCU
rnacentral:rRNA from 1 species